rnacentral:rRNA from 1 species
UUGGAGGGCAAGUCUGGUGCCAGCAGCCGCGGUAAUUCCAGCUCCAAUAGCGUAUAUUAAAGUUGUUGAGGUUAAAAAGCUCGUAGUUGAACCUUGGGCCUAGCCGGCCGGUCCGCCUCACCGCGUGCACUGGCUCGGCUGGGUCUUUCCUUCUGGAGAACCGCAUGCCCUUCACUGGGUGUGCUGGGGAACCAGGACUUUUACUCUGAAUAAAUUAGAUCGCUUAAAGCAGGCCUACGCUCGAAUACAUUAGCAUGGAAUAAUAGAA